rnacentral:rRNA from 1 species
AUUGAACGCUGGCGGCAGGCCUAACACAUGCAAGUCGAGCGGAUGAAGGGAGCUUGCUCCUGGAUUCAGCGGCGGACGGGUGAGUAAUGCCUAGGAAUCUGCCUGGUAGUGGGGAUAACGUCCGGAAACGGGCGCUAAUACCGCAUACGUCCUGAGGGAGAAAGUGGGGGAUCUUCGGACCUCACGCUAUCAGAUGAGCCUAGGUCGGAUUAGCUAGUUGGUGGGGUAAAGGCCUACCAAGGCGACGAUCCGUAACUGGUCUGAGAGGAUGAUCAGUCACACUGGAACUGAGACACGGUCCAGACUCCUACGGGAGGCAGCAGUGGGGAAUAUUGGACAAUGGGCGAAAGCCUGAUCCAGCCAUGCCGCGUGUGUGAGGAAGGUCUUCGGAUUGUAAAGCACUUUAAGUUGGGAGGAAGGGCAGUAAGUUAAUACCUUGCUGUUUUGACGUUACCAACAGAAUAAGCACCGGCUAACUUCGUG